rnacentral:rRNA from 1 species
UACGUAGGGGGCAAGCGUUGUCCGGAAUCAUUGGGCGUAAAGCGCGCGUAGGCGGCCCUCUAAGUCCGUUGUGAAAGUCAAAGGCUCAACCUUUGAAAGCCGAUGGAUACUGCAGGGCUCGAGUUCGGAAGAGGCGAGUGGAAUUCCUGGUGUAGCGGUGGAAUGCGCAGAUAUCAGGAGGAACACCAAUAGCGAAGGCAGCUCGCUGGGACGAUACUGACGCUAAGGCGCGAAAGCGUGGGGAGCGAACAGG